rnacentral:tRNA from 1 species
UUCUAAUAUGGCAGAUUAU